rnacentral:rRNA from 1 species
GGGCUGCAGUUAGGAAUAUUCUGCAAUGCGCGCAAGCGUGACAGAUUGAGCCAGAGUGCUUUUCAAUUGAAAAGCUUUUGCCAAAUGUAAAAAGUUUGGCGAAUAAGGACUGGGUAAGACGAGUGCCAGCCGCCGCGGUAAUACUCGCGGUCCAAGUCGCAGCCAUCUUUAUUGGGUAUAAAACAUCCGUAGCUUGUUAAAUAAGUUUCUUGUGAAAUUCUAUAUCUUAAAUAUGGAGCGUGCAAGAAGUACUGUUUAGCUAGAGACUGGAAGACGUAAGAAGUACGUUUGGAGUAGCGGUAAAAUGUGUUAAUCCCAGACGGACUAACAAGAGCGAAGGCAUCUUACGAGGACAGUUCUGACAGUAAGGGAUGAAGGCUAGGGGCGCAAAACGGAUUAGAUACCCUAGUAGUC